rnacentral:lncRNA from 9 species
GGUUGUCCAUUUACUGUACUCUGUGCGGUUCCUCUUUUCCAUGGCAGAGGAGAAAGCUUUAGGUCUAAAGGUCGAAGUGGACAGUGGAAGAGUUCACUGUGCUGCUGUGACCAGUGGGAGAAAUAGUUACAAAGCAAUCCGAUAUUUUUGUGGAAGAUUAACGUCCUGUCGGUAUAUGUUUUGAACCUCAUUACCCUAAAAGAACUCAUGUCUCCUUCUUAGCUUUUAUGACAUUUUGAAAAAGCCUCUGCCUCUUGCCUCAGCCUUGAGAUGUUUCAGUCUCCCCACGGUAGAGUGGAAAGAAACACACACACACACACACACGCAAAUAUUUCUCCAUUAAUACCACAAGCAACUCUGGUAUUUCUUGUGUUGCUGGUGGCGCUUGGUAACUAUCCUUUACAGCAAUGCAUUUCUUCAGAUGUUCUGAGAUUCUUGCAUGUUCAUGUUCGUGUUUUCGUUUGAGAAAUCCUAUUUGUGUAGCUGUGAUUGUGAUGCUGGCUCUGAUGAUGGAGCUUGCUUUGAGGCGUUUGGGGCUGCAGUGGAGCGGGGGAUGUUUGGCUGUGUCUCUCUCUGUUGGGGAUUGCUGGCUUCCUGGGGCGGUUUUAGGGAGAGAGUACAUGUUGUUGCUGUAAGCUGCUCAGCGCAAGCCCCUGGAGAACCCGGGCUGGGGAGAGAGGGAGCGGGAGCGGGAGAAAGGGUGAGAGAGAGAGAACGAGAGGGAAGGGGGUAGGAGGGACGGAGGAAGGCGGGAGGGACAUUCCACAUGUGCACAUGUAGUCUUCAAAUUAGCCUCCCAGAAAUUUGUUCAUACUCAAGGGAAUGUCCCUUCUGAUCCACUAAUAGGUCACAUACUAUAGGUCGAAAAACCCUGAUGGGUGAGCCUUAUUUUUUAAGAACAACCUGGAGAUUUUAACCAUGUAAAAAAAGGUUUGAAAGUCAAUCGAUGCAUCAUGAAGGUAUUUUCCUGGAAGUAUAAUGUUUUCUUAGGCACAAAUGGCCACGCGUUGUUGAAGUUAUCAUUUGUGCCCCUGGCUUGAGGUGCACUUAAUUUCAAAUGACUGCUCUCUUAGUAAUACUCAGAUCGAGGCUUACAUGCAAAAAGUCCACAUGUCGUUAUGACAUACUUGUGUCAAAAUCUGCAACAACAUUUUAAAAAGAAAAUCACAGAAAUCACUUAGAAUUGUAGAACUGUAUAUAUAUUUUUGAAAGUCAUCAACAUGGUAUAUGUGAUAAUUCACUAUUAAGAAUAUCCAGUUGAUUGCUCUUUUUUCGCAGGAUAGGCUGUGUCAGAAGGUGCUGUUCUCAAGGGAACGGGUUCCAGCCCAGCGAAGGGUGCCAUCUACUGGAUUUACUAAUGUUCCUUCUCAGAACACCAGGAAGUCUCCUUCAGGACUCUGGGGUACUAAUAAUUCCUCCACUCCUGGAGCACUCCCUUCUUUCCCACCAUUUUUACACAGCAUAGACAAAGCACUGAGUCCCCACGGGGCUGCGUAGCGGCUUCUGAACUGAAUCCCACUGAUUCUUGUCUCUCCUCGAGUGCGCGCUGCACUUAAUCAGUCACUUGCUUCUAAUGAAUAGAGUACGACAGAGGGGAUGGGAUAGCCCUUCUCAAAUUAGGCUAUAAAAGUGUGUGACCUCUGUUUUGGUCACAGACUGCCUCUCUCUGGUGUCUCUUAUGUGUUCGUUCCGAUGAAGCCAGCUGUCAUGUUGUGAGCUCUGGCCUCUGGCCAACAACCAGUGAGAAACUGAGACUGUCAUUGGAACUGAGACCUUUAGUCCAAAAGCUUGUGAGAGACAAUCCCACCAAUAACCAUGAAUGAGCUUGGAAGCAGAUCCUUCCUCUUUGGAGCCUUCAGAUGAAGCCGCAGCCCCAGUCAGCCUCUUUUGUAAAAUUGUGGCUGUACCCACAGCAUGUGGAAGUUCCUGAGCCAGGGAUCGAACCCGUGCCAGAGCAGCAACCUGAACCACAGCAGCGACAACACCAGGUUCUUAACCCAUGGAGCCACAAGGGAACUCCCACAGUCAACAUCUUGAUUGCAGGAUGGUGUGAGACCCUGGUAUUUGACCCACAGAAACUGUGACAAAAUAAACAUUGCUUUGUGCCAUUAAGUUUUGGAAUGGGAGUUCCCUCAUGACUCAUGGGUUAGGGAUCCUGCGUGGUCACUGCUCUUGCUCAGGUCCCAGCUGUGGUGUGGGUUCUGUCCCUGGCCCUGGAACUUCCACAUGCUGUGGGCGUAGCCAAAAAAAGUUUUGCGAUGAUUUGUUAUGCAGCAGUAGGUAACUAAUUCAAGGGCCAAUAGUGGCUCACUAAUUUCGAUGGAUUUUCAAAAGCUUCAGAAGUUUCCUGUUUGAAUUGGGCCUAAUAAGCCUCAUAAAGACUUUCUUCUGUGCUUGCCUGGUUAGACAGUUAGACCUUGCAUCUCCAGAGGAGUAGUCCUGGAAGCUUCUGAGGCCACUUGAUCUGUAGUUCUGCAAUGAUAGGUCUUUAUCAUAUACCAAGCGAGUGAGCAUUUUAAGAUAAGCAUACUUUUCAGAGUAACAUGCAUUGUUUUUAUCAUUAAUUUUCAGUUAGAAGAAUAAAGCAUGAACACAUUCUCCUGGCAAAAAUAAGUACAUUAUAGAUAAAGUCCUCUUUGACAGUAACCUGAUUGAGGCCUCUCUCCUCCUCAUAAUAGCGAGCUCCACUCUUUAUUAUGAGUUUGGAGUAGAUCUUGCCAGAACUUAAAAAAAUUUUAUUAACAUGCACGUGUCUGUGUUUACAAAAAUAACACUCCUGCAGUAUCAUUCACUUUUUCCCCACUCCUCCUUGCUUUUUUCCCACUCAGCCAUCUCUUCCAGUUUUGAAAUCCCUAUUGAUGUAUGUGGACUCUAGUUCACUCUUACUUAUCAAGUGAAAACAGCACUUUGUACUUAGCUGCCAUGUACUGAUGACCUUGGUUCCAGACCUUCACCGUCACACACCACGCUGCAGUGAACAUCUCCUACCUGUCUGUGCCAGAGCGUGUUUUUCCAGGCCAGACACCUAUGAGGGGAAAGGCUGGGUCAUAGAUUAUGCACAUCUUUCGUCUUAGCAACACUGCCAAAUUGCCCGACCAAAUGGCUGUGUCAAUUUAUGCUUCCUAUAGUAAUGAAAAUGCCUGUUUGCCCUAAACUUUGCCCAAAUGUCGUAUUUUCCAGCCUGGUGGGAGAAAAGUGACUUCUCGUUGGUUUGGUUCACAUUCUCCUAGUUAUUGGUGAGGUCGAAAACCUCUUCGGUUCCUGUGAGAGCAGUUGUGUGUGUGUGUGUGUGUGUGUGUGUGUGUGUGUGUGUGUGUGUGUGUGUAGCAGGGCUUGGGGGGAAGGGUGUGAAUUUGAGCUCGGAUGCCAGCUACCCAGGGGAGUUGCAUUCCAGUUCUGAGCACAUGGGCUGCCCAUCGCUGAUAGCCUGUGAGAACUUGAGAUCACGUGUGCAGCCUCUCCCUUUGGGGUGAGAUAGAGCCACCGGUUUCAGCUCGGACCUUCAUCUGGAGAGCCUCUGGGGGUAUCCAGCACUCGAACUGCUUGGUCCCGUCCCAACACUACUGUGUGAGGGCAGAAACUAGGAGGUUAUGAUGUUGGCUUAAUGCAUUGCCUCUGAUCAGUGCAAAAUCGGUUGCGGCUCCACUGUGGGGGCAGGGCAGAAAGAUGAGUGGAACUUAGCGAGCUCCCCUCGGUAAUAAAAGCCCCCUUAAGUCUAUUGGACGCCUCAACAGGCAAGACUGACAAGGGCAAAGACUGUCAGGAAUUAAAGUUUGGGGUGCCUUAUGCUUGCGAAGCAAGAGGAAUUAGGACUGUAUGGUGGAGGAGGGAUACUUCAUAACUAAUGGCAAAAACAAGGAGUCUUGCUGGUCCUUAAGUUUUCUUCUUUGCCAAAUAUGUAUAUUUAUAUACUUUAAAGAAUUCCUCAUGUCUUUGACUGACUUCUUUCUCAGUAUGGAUGAAGAUGGAUAAACUCGUGCUGUUUAGACCACCAGGUCCAGAAUCAUGUUAGAAGAGCAACGGCUCUGGCGCAAAGAUCUUUAUCUUGCAGCUGGAUGCAGAAACCGAGGAGGCUUUGGUCCCCCGCCUUGGGAAGUGUGAGUUCAUCUUAUGUUGUAAGGAGAAGCAAUCACAUUAUUUUAGACACCAGAAUUUUUGGAAGUGUGCAUAUGGGAAGAGGGGUUAGAUCAAUAAUUAGUGACCAAAAGGCUGGGCUGUUUCCUGAGGGGAGGGGAGUACCACCCAGUAUUCAUUCAGCCGGCCCUACGGCCAGCGUGAUUACUUCUGGGCAAUUCCCUCGGUGUGUACAAUCCUGGUGGAAUGAUCAAUCGAGGGUCUGGCAGAACUCCUGCUACAGAGGCCCCUGAAGGCUCCAUCUGCCAGAUUCUUCCUCUAAGUUCUGCAGUAGAGCCAGAGUGUCAGCAUGUUGCCCAAAGCCUGUGAGGAUGACUCAGUCUUCUGGAACUUUUAAUCCUUUAAUCCUUAACAGAGUGAAGCAAAUCAAUUCAUUCAUUCCAGUGACUGUGCUGGGAAAGACUGUCAGGCUACUCCGGUUACAGAGGCUCUCUGGAACUCCCUGGUUCUGUCUCGAUCCACUGCAUGAAUAUACUUCAAUUUAUGUAUCUUUUUUCUAUCAACAUCCGAGGCUAUCUCAGAUAUUGCUGCCAUGAAGAUUCUUUUUUUCCCCACAUUAAUUUUGCUUUAGUAGCGUCAACUUUCUGUCCCUAGCUAACGAAUGGAGAGAUUUUUGUCACAGUAGUGUUUUAUUCAUAAUGCAUUUAAAUAUAUACAUUUCAGUUUGUUUUUAUCACUCUUACUAGGGACAUGUGUUUUUAGAAAGAGACAGAGUAAGCUAUACCCUCCAAAAGAGAAAAUACAACUAUAGUUUAAGUAACAGAAAAAAAAUAACAAGCUAUUAAAAAUGUAAAGCUGGGAAAUUUUUCUAAUCAUCAUACCCAACACCUAAAUUGUCUUUCAUUGUCAAACACUGCACUUAACUAAAACAUUUAAAAUUUAGUAAUAGAAUGAUUGCUUGGUUAGAUUUAUUUUGUUUCUGUAAUAAAUAAUAUUAAGAAUAAAGACAAAAAUAGUGAUGAUAAUAUACAAAGAAAUGUUGGAGAUACUUUUAUAGCUUGUGAUACCCUCAGAG